rnacentral:rRNA from 1 species
AGAGUUUGAUCCUGGCUCAGGAUGAACGCUAGCGGGAGGCCUAACACAUGCAAGUCGAACGGGAUUGAGAGCUUGCUCUCAUGAGAGUGGCGCACGGGUGAGUAACGCGUAUGCAACCUACCUAUAACUGAGGGAUAGCCCAUAGAAAUGUGGAUUAAUACCUCAUAGUUCUUUUGGUCCGCAUGGAUUAAAAGAUAAAGCUCCGGCGGUUAUAGAUGGGCAUGCGUGACAUUAGCUAGUUGGUAAGGUAACGGCUUACCAAGGCUACGAUGUCUAGGGGUUCUGAGAGGAUGAUCCCCCACACUGGUACUGAGACACGGACCAGACUCCUACGGGAGGCAGCAGUGAGGAAUAUUGGUCAAUGGGCGCAAGCCUGAACCAGCCAUCCCGCGUGCAGGAUGAAGGCCCUAUGGGUCGUAAACUGCUUUUAUACACCAAGAAAAACACCCACGUGUGGGUGCCCGACGGUAGUGUAUGAAUAAGCAUCGGCUAACUCCGUGCCAGCAGCCGCGGUAAUACGGGGGGUGCAAGCGUUGUUCGGAAUUAUUGGGCGUAAAGCGCGUGUAGGCGGUCUGAUUAGUCUGAUGUGAAAGCCCUGGGCUCAACCCAGGAAGUGCAUUGGAUACUGUCAGACUUGAAUACGGGAGAGGGUAGUGGAAUUCCUAGUGUAGGAGUGAAAUCCGUAGAUAUUAGGAGGAACACCGGUGGCGAAGGCGGCUACCUGGACCGAUAUUGACGCUGAGACGCGAAAGCGUGGGUAGCAAACAGGAUUAGAUACCCUGGUAGUCC